GACGAACGCUGGCGGCGUGCUUAACACAUGCAAGUCGAACGAAGUGGCGCACGGGUGAGUAACGCGUAAUCAACCUGCCCUUCAGAGGGUGACAACAGUUGGAAACGACUGCUAAUCCCGCAUACUGAAGGAGGGGAUUGCGUCUGAUUCGGUAGUUGGAGGGGGAACGGCCCACCAAGGCGAUGAUCAGUAGCCGGGCUGAGAGGAUGACCGGCCACAUUGGGACUGAGACACGGCCCAGACUCCGACGGGAGGCAGCAGUGGGGAAUCUUCCGCAAUGGACGAAAGUCUGACGGAGCAACGCCGCGUGAGUGAUGACGGCCUUCGGGUUGUAAAGCUCUGUUAAUCGGGACGCGGUACCGGAAUAGAAAGCCACGGCUAACUACGUGCCAGCCGCCGCGGUAAUUC
rnacentral:rRNA from 1 species